CAGUAGCCGCGGUAAUACGUAGGGUGCAAGCGUUAAUCGGAAUUAUUGGGCGUAAAGCGAGUGCAGACGGUUACUUAAGCCAGAUGUGAAAUCCCCAAGCUUAACUUGGGACGUGCAUUUGAAACUGGGUGACUAGAGUGUGUCAGAGGGAGGUAGAAUUCCACAUGUAGCGGUGGAAUGCGUAGAGAUGUGGAGGUAUACCGAUGGCGAAGGCAGCCUCCUGGGAUAACACUGACGUUGAGGCUCGAAAGCGUGGGGAGCAAACAGGAUUAGAUACCCCCGUAGUCCCUGUCUCUUAUAC
rnacentral:rRNA from 1 species